GCCCGGUUAGCUCAAUCGGUAGAGCGUGAGACUCUUAAUCUCAAGGUUGCGGGUGAGUGCACAAACAUUGCCCUGUGAGAAAAAAAGAGAGAAAUAUACUGACCGGCGACGUUAUAGGUUCGACCCCCGCAUCGGGCU